rnacentral:rRNA from 1 species
GGACUACCAGGGUAUCUAAUCCCGUUCGCUCCCCUGGCUUUCGUGUCUCAGCGUCGGUACAGCCCCAGUUGCCUGCUUUCGCCAUUGGCGUUCCAAAUGAUAUCUACGCAUUUCACCGCUCCACCAUUUGUUCCGGCAACCCCUAGCUGACCCAAGACACCCAGUAUACCCAGCAGUUCCACGGUUGAGCCGUGGGAUUUCACAAGGUACUUAGGCAUCCGCCUACACACGCUUUAAGCCCAGUGAUUCCGCCUAACGCUUGGCACCUCUGUCUUACCGCGGCUGCUGGCAC